GGGACACGUGGUAUCCUGUCUGAAUAUGGGGGGACCAUCCUCCAAGGCUAAAUACUCCUGACUGACCGAUAGUGAACCAGUACCGUGAGGGAAAGGCGAAAAGAACCCCGGCGAGGGGAGUGAAAAAGAACCUGAAACCGUGUACGUACAAGCAGUGGGAGCACGCUUAGGCGUGUGACUGCGUACCUUUUGUAUAAUGGGUCAGCGACUUAUAUUCUGUAGCAAGGUUAACCGAAUAGGGGAGCCGAAGGGAAACCGAGUCUUAACUGGGCGUUAAGUUGCAGGGUAUAGACCCGAAACCCGGUGAUCUAGCCAUGGGCAGGUUGAAGGUUGGGUAACACUAACUGGAGGACCGAACCGACUAAUGUUGAAAAAUUAGCGGAUGACUUGUGGCUGGGGGUGAAAGGCCAAUCAAACCGGGAGAUAGCUGGUUCUCCCCGAAAGCUAUUUAGGUAGCGCCUCGUGAAUUCAUCUCCGGGGGUAGAGCACUGUUUCGGCAAGGGGGUCAUCCCGACUUACCAACCCGAUGCAAACUGCGAAUACCGGAGAAUGUUAUCACGGGAGACACACGGCGGGUGCUAACGUCCGUCGUGA
rnacentral:rRNA from 1 species